GGCUUCUUAGUCUAAUGGUUAUGACAUCGGAUUCUGAUUCGCGUUUGAUCAACAGCUGAUCGACGAUUCAUUCCGGGGGUCAGGGUUCGAUUCCCUGAGAGGCCU
rfam:Talaromyces marneffei PM1 scf001, whole genome shotgun sequence.